rnacentral:ncRNA from 1 species
UAUAGAGUUUGUUGGCAUUCAGUGAAUGUAUAGCGAUGUCGGACAUGGAUGUCCGGCAAGCCUCGUCUGAGACAGGAUGUCGAAUACGAGGCGUUCGCGUAUUAUAUCAAUACCAAUCCUGAAUGCUUACAAACUCUUAUAUACGGAC